GUCCACGCUGUAACGAUGAGUGCUAGGCGUCGGCAAGCUUGCUUGUCGGUGCCGCAGCUAACGCGUGAAGCACUCCGCCUGUGGAGUACGGUCGCAAGAUUAAACUCAAAGGAAUUGACGGGGCCCGCACAAGCGGUGGAGCAUGUGGUUUAAUUCGACGCAACGCGCAGAACCUUACCAGCCCUUGACAUCCCGUGACCGGCUCAGAGAUGGGUUUUCCCAGCAAUGGGCACGGAGACAGGUGCUGCAUGGCUGUCGU
rnacentral:rRNA from 1 species